rnacentral:rRNA from 1 species
AUUGAACGCUGGCGGCAGGCUUAACACAUGCAAGUCGAGCGGGGGAGGUUGCUUCGGUAACUGACCUAGCGGCGGACGGGUGAGUAAUGCUUAGGAAUCUGCCUAUUAGUGGGGGACAACAUUCCGAAAGGGAUGCUAAUACCGCAUACGCCCUACGGGGGAAAGCAGGGGAUCUUCGGACCUUGCGCUAAUAGAUGAGCCUAAGUCGGAUUAGCUAGUUGGUGGGGUAAAGGCCUACCAAGGCGACGCUCUGUAGCGGGUCUGAGAGGAUGAUCCGGCACACUGGGGCUGCGACACGGCCCAGACUCCUACGGGAGGCAGCAGUGGGGAAUAUUGGACAAUGGGCGGAAGCCUGAUCCAGCCAUGCCGCGUGUGUGAAGAAGGCCUUUUGGUUGUAAAGCACUUUAAGCGAGGAGGAGGCUCUUAAGGUUAAUACCCUUGAUGAGUGGACGUUACUCGCAGAAUAAGCACCGGCUAACUCUGUGCCAGCCGCCGCAGUAAAAC